rnacentral:rRNA from 1 species
UAAAGUAAGAAAGAGCGUAUGGCGGAUGCCUAGGCACAGAGAGGCGAAGAAGGACGCAGCAAACAGCGAAAUGCGACGGUUAGCAGUAAGCAUGCAACGAUCCGUCGAUGUCCGAAUGGGGGAACCCACCUGGAGUAGAGACCAGGUAUCCUGAAGUGAAUAAAUAGCUUCAGAGAGGCGAGACUCAGGGAACUGAAACAUCUAAGUACCUGAAGGAAGAGAAAAUAAACGAAUGAUUCCCUAAGUAGCGGCGAGCGAAAGGGGAAGAGCCCAAACCGAUCUUAGGAUCGGGGUUGUAGGACUGUCGGCAAAGAGCAAGAAAUCAUUAUAGGCGAACGGAAUGGGAAGUCCGGCGAAACAGGGUGACAGCCCCGUAGCCGAAAUAGUGAAGAAGCACGAGACAGCACCUGAGUACGGCGGGACACGAGGAAUCCUGUCGGAAUCCACCAGGACCAUCUGGUAAGGCUAAAUACUCCUCUGUGACCGAUAGUGAACCAGUACCGUGAGGGAAAGGUGAAAAGAACCCCGGGAGGGGAGUGAAAUAGAACCUGAAACCAUAUGCUUACAAGAAGUUAGAGCCCGUUAAAGGGUGAUAGCGUGCCUUUUGUAGAAUGAACCGGCGAGUUACGAUAUGGAGCGAGGUUAAGCAGGAUAUGCGGAGCCGAAGCGAAAGCGAGUCUUAAUAGGGCGAAAGUUGCAUGUCGUAGACCCGAAACCGAGUGAUCUAGCCAUGACCAGGUUGAAGUUGGGGUAAAACCCGAUGGAGGACCGAACCGACCCCCGUUGAAACGUUGGCGGAUGAGUUGUGGCUAGGGGUGAAAUUCCAAUCGAACUCGGAGAUAGCUGGUUCUCCCCGAAAUAGCUUUAGGGCUAGCGUCGAGGUAAAGUCGUGUGAAGGUAGAGCACUGAAUAUGUGAUGGCCCCAUCUCGGGGUACUGAACAUAAUCAAACUCCGAAUGUCACAAAGAUAUACUCGGCAGUCAGACAGUGGGUGAUAAGGUCCAUUGUCAAAAGGGAAACAGCCCAGACCAUCAGCUAAGGUCCCAAAAUAUAUACUAAGUGGAAAAGGAUGUGGAGAUGUCCAGACAACUAGGAGGUUGGCUCAGAAGCAGCCAUCCUUUAAAGAGUGCGUAACAGCUCACUAGUCGAAUGACUCUGCGCCGAUAAUUUACCGGGGCUAAGUAUAUUACCGAAGCUAUGGAUUUACGCGUAAGCGUGAGUGGUAGGGGAGCGUUCUAUGUGCGGAGAAGCGGUACCGUAAGGAGCCGUGGAGCGCAUAGAAGAGAGAAUGCCGGUGUGAGUAGCGAAACGUGGGUGAGAAUCCCACGCACCGAAAACCCAAGGUUUCCAGAGGAAGGUUCGUCCGCUCUGGGUAAGUCGGGACCUAAGGCGAGGCCGAGAGGCGUAGUCGAUGGACAACAGGUAGAGAUUCCUGUACUUACGGUAUGAAUGAUGGAGUGACGGAGAAGGCUAGCGGAUCCUGCUGAUGGAAAUGCAGGUGCAAGCGAGGUAGCCGACAGCCAGGCAAAUCCGGCUGUCGAAAGGCAAAGGCGUGAGGCGUAUGGAAAGCUGCGGCAAGUACAGAAGUCCGUGAAGCCAGCUUCCAAGAAAAGCUUCUAGUGAUAAUCAUACAGUAACCCGUACCGAAAAUGGACACACAUGGGUGAGGAGAGAAUCCUAAGGUGAGCGAGAGAACUAUAGCUAAGGAACUCUGCAAAAUGACUCCGUAACUUAGGGAUAAGGAGUGCUCAUAGAGAUAUGAGCCGCAGUGAAACGGCCCAAGCGACUGUUUACCAAAAACACAGCUCUAUGCUAAGUCGAAAGACGACGUAUAUGGGGUGACGCCUGCCCGGUGCUGGAAGGUUAAGAGGAUGUGUCAGCGCAAGCGAAGCAUUGAAUUGAAGCCCCAGUAAACGGCGGCCGUAACUAUAACGGUCCUAAGGUAGCGAAAUUCCUUGUCAGGUAAGUUCUGACCCGCACGAAAGGCGUAACGA